rnacentral:tRNA from 1 species
GCUAAGGUGGCAGAGCCCGGUAAUUGCGGAAGGCCUAAGAUCUUCUCCCCAGAGGUUCAAGUCCUCUUCUUAGCU